rnacentral:rRNA from 1 species
CCUACGGGGAGCAGCAGUGGGGAAUAUUGGACAAUGGGCGAAAGCCUGAUCCAGCCAUGCCGCGUGUGUGAAGAAGGCCUUCGGGUUGUAAAGCACUUUCAGUGGGGAAGAAAGCCUUGGGGCUAAUACCCUCGAGGAAGGACAUCACCCACAGAAGAAGCACCGGCUAACUCCGUGCCAGCAGCCGCGGUAAUACGGAGGGUGCGAGCGUUAAUCGGAAUUACUGGGCGUAAAGCGCGCGUAGGCGGUCUGAUAAGCCGGUUGUGAAAGCCCCGGGCUCAACCUGGGAACGGCAUCCGGAACUGUCAGGCUAGAGUGCAGGAGAGGAAGGUAGAAUUCCCGGUGUAGCGGUGAAAUGCGUAGAGAUCGGGAGGAAUACCAGUGGCGAAGGCGGCCUUCUGGACUGACACUGACGCUGAGGUGUGAAAGCGUGGGUAGCAAACAGGAUUAGAUACCCUUGUAGUC